AGGGGAAGAAGCAAGCAUUUGCCUUUUCUGUCAGCUGAGGCCGGACUGUGGGAGAGUGUUACUAGAAGUUGUUGCAUUGUGGCUUUGCAGGGAGAAGUUAUUGUGAGAAGCUGGUAUGGUGUGAAGGAAAACACGCUGUUUGAAGGGCUAAUUCAAGGGCACAACCAUGGAGGAAAUGGACUUUGAGCGGCGCCGGGAGCUGAGGAGGCAGAAGCGGGAGGAGAUGCGCCUGGAGGCCGAACGGAUGGCGAGGAAUGAUGAUGAUGAGGAGGAGGCGGCCCGUGAGAGGAGGCGCCGGGCUCGGCAGGAGAGGCUGAGGAGCAGGGAGAGCGAGGAGCCCAGCAGCCAGCCAGACAGCCUGGUCAUGACCAACAGCCACAGUGUGACAGAGACAGUGACUGUGAGCAGCUCUUAUGGAGGCGGCGGAGACGACGAAGAACAGGCGCUGCUGGACCGGAUGGCCAAACGAGAGGAGAGACGGCAGAGACGCAUGAAGGAGGCGCUGGAGAGACAGGGGCAGCUGGACAACACCGAGGCCACCGACGGCGUCGCCACGGAGAGAAACAACGCAGAAGAGGAGAGACCCUCCUCCUGGCGUAGGGGUCGUUACCGUGACAAUGAGGAUGAGGAGGAGAAGCCAGCGACCUACAGUUCAAGGAGGGAUCAGAAGGACCGAGAGGAGCCGAGAGAGGAAGAGGAGGCUGCUCCUGAAGCCACAGAGGUGGAGGAGGAGGAGCAGAAAGUUGAAGUGGAGGAGGACAAGCCGAGAAGGUCUUACUUGAGAGAACAGGCGUCAACUGACGAGCCUAAAAUGCAAAACAAGGCUCUCGCUGAAGAAGAAACACUUUCUGUAGUCAGUGAGAGUUCAAAUCAGGCCAAGUCAGCAAAUUCAGAGGCUGAGGAGGAUGCGAUAGCGUCAGGGGAGGCGGAAGAGGUACCUGAGGAUGAUAAUGUAGAUAAUUCACCAGAGAACAAGCCUAUGUUACUAAGAAAUGACAGUGAAGAGGACUUUGAGGUAUCUGAGAUACUGCAGUCAAAGGAUAAUGAGGUGAAUGAGAGGGGCGGAGCCAAGGAGGAUGAGAGGAAGCACAACGGAGGGCUGCACGAGGAGGCGACUCCCAAACAGCACCGGAAACCUGAGAGGACCCUCAGUCGUGGCAGCGUUCGUUCCCCUGAGGUGUCCGCGGGCGACGAGCAGGACGACGCCGCCCGCCUGGAGGCAGAGCGCAAGCUGGAGGAGCUGAAACGUCGCCGCGACGACGCCGAGAGCGAGGAGUUCGAGAAGAUGAGGCAGAAGCAGCAGGAGGCCGAGGUCGAGCUGGAGGAGCUGAAGAGGAAGAGGGAGGAGAGGAGGAAGGUGCUGGAGGAGGAGGAGCGGCAGAAGAAGCAGGAGGAGGCGGAAAAGAAAGCCAGAGAGGAGGAGGAGAAAAGGAAGAUGAAAGAGGAGAUCGAGAGGAGGAGAGCAGAGGCAGCUGAGAAGAGACAGAAGGUGGAAGACACCAUGGACGGGGAGGACAAACCGUUCAAGUGUGUCAGCCCUCGAGGCUCCUCUCUGAAGAUUGGAGAGAGAGCAGAGUUCCUGAACAAAUCGGCGCAGAAAAGCACAGUGAAGACGUCUCAUUCUCCGGUGGUGUCCAAGAUAGACAACAGGCUGGAGCAGUACACCUCAGCUGCUCAGCAGAGAGAGAACAAGGAGUCUCGAUCCCCUCGCUCCGGAGCCGUGGAUCUGCCCAUGGUCACCGACAGCAUACGAAACAUCAAGAGCAUGUGGGAGAAAGGCAAUGUGUUCAGCUCGCCUGGAAGCGGCGGAAGCCCAUUCAAGGAAGCAGCUGUGAUGAAGACAGGCGUGGCGGGCCGCAUCAACGACUGGCUGAAUAAAACCCCAGAGAGCGGCAAGACUCCAGGAGGAAGGCCAGCGGACCUGAAGCCGGUUGACGUCACCAACAAGAGGAGUCUAUGGGAAAACAAAGGCGCCUCUCCAACCAAGAACUCUCAUAGCUAGUUGACCUCACCGCUAAAUCUGGAAAAAAGCCUGGAGAGGUGGCAGGCAGAGGGGAGACCAAAUCAGUCGCCAACGGUAUGGGACACUAAUGUCUCGAAGGAGCCACUAAAGCUGGGGACCACGACAAUCCAAGACUCUUCCUUUUGACUUUUUCUUAAGAACCAAAUAGUGACCACACAUCCCGAGAGGGGACCCUUAAGACCAUGGAGGGACAGGAGAGACGCUGUCCGAGCACUGUACCGAAACAACAUCAGCGUAAUUUUGUAAGGUUGCCACGUAUAGUGCCUUUGCACAAUGAUUUUUGCUUUCUGAAAAAAAAAAGAAGAGAAAAACAACAAAAAAUGCUGUGAAAUUUGGACAUUUGUUAUUUCUUUAUCUAAAAAUCCUGCCAGGAAAACAAAACUAAUUAAAUUUAGAUGUAUCUUUUGUACUCGAGACAGAGUAGUUUCCACAUUCCAAAGAGAUGGGUGAAAUCUCACUCCUACCGAUUAUUUUCCAUCUCUUUUUUUAUUUAUAUUUAAAGCAAAAGCUUCACACAUUUGCUAUUUUAUUCAACGUUCACCUGUUCAGGAUAGAAAUAUAAGCACUUCUAGAAUUUAGCGGAUUUCACUUUUAUUAUGUCUUACCAAUAGUGCAGCAACGGUCUGAGUAAUAUAUGUUAGCACAUGUGAUGUUUUGAAUAUCAUACUGUAUCACUUAUAACAUCUGUAUAAUCAUAACAAAAAGGUAUUUUUGCUUCUUUUUCGUAUCCAAAAACUAUUCACCAACAGGCAGUUAGUUAAUUCGGAGUGUUGAAUAUCCAGAAGGCCAUUUUAUUAUCUUUUUAUUUAUAUUUUAAUGUGUUUUUUUUCUUUUUCUAGCUUUUGUACCUGUUCGAUCAAUUUAAAAUCUUCAGACAUUCCUCCUAAAAGCAGCCGCACGUGGUGCCUUCGCUGCUUAAAAGCUGUAGGUUUUAUAAUGUAGGAUCUUUUUCAUUUUGUUUUUAAUCUACCUUUAACUUCUUUAUUGCCUCUAUGCACACUCUUACGCUCAGCAAUGCUUUUCUAACUGAGGGCAAAUUAAAAUCAGGGUGCCUACGCAUAUAACAAGAUAGUAGUACAAGGAUAUUUACCACUAUGUAAAACUUCUGGCCUUAUGAUUGCAAUGACAACAUUUACGACAGCUGAGGUACAGUACUUGAACGCCUCAUCGCGACUCAGUUUCUUUUUUUUGAGACUUGUGAUUUUCAUGUUUAUUUUUCACUGACUUGUUCUUAAGUAGCACAUUCCCUUCGAUAAGAUGAUGAACCGUUUGUCAGGGCAUUAAAUUGAUCGAUGCAACUGCUCAAGAGUCUGACAAUCACAUUCCAUGGCUCCUGAAAAAUGAGCAGGGGAGCUGGACCAAAACAUUUCUACGCGUGAUUUAAUGUGACAUUUAUAUAUGGGUUUUUUUUCCUAAUACAGUGGUUUCAUAAUGCUGUAUUGUUUUUUUUUUUUUACAACUUUGUGUCCAUUUUAUGUUUUUUAAAAAUUCUUUUAUUUCCAUGUUUAACCAGACACUUGUCAUUUGUGUAGCGCUAAGCCUAUGCAAAACACAUUUUCUUUAGUCUCUCUCUCUCUCCCAAUGUCAAACAAGUGGGCAGUUUCCAAGUGGAUGAAUGUUUUGAACAUUAUACCUUUGAUUCAACAACAGCAAUAAAGACAUUGAGGUAUUCCA